GAAUGUCAGUCAGUUUGGCUGUGAUAUCUGUCAUCACUGCGAUUGAUUUGGCUGAUCUGGUUAGCUAGGAAAGCAUUCCCUUCUUCCUCAUCCCUCAGUGCUGGAUGAAUGAGGCUGAGCAUCCUGGGUAAAGGAAGACUUUCCUUCAAUCAAGGGUAUAAAAGUAACUAUACUCCACUGUUAAAACCUCCAAACAAUUCUCUACAAUGGAAGAGCUACCAAAAAUCAGUUUCAUUUUUACUUCUUACUUGCUGGAAGGAAAUAGU
rfam:Dipodomys ordii contig_55270, whole genome shotgun sequence.